rnacentral:lncRNA from 1 species
UGCAUAACCAAUCCGGGUGUGAGACACGCCUCUCCUAGGCCUAUAUAAGUAGUACCAGUUCUGGGCUCGGGGUCUUUUCGCCUAUGCGGUCAAUGCUCUCCCAAUAAACACGUUGCAGAAGGAUCCUGUUGUGGCACCUCUCUUGCUGGCGAGUCGGGCGCUCACAAGUGGUGCUGAAACCCGAGAAAAGAAACAUCUUCAGGCACGAGCGAAGACCCCCUGUUAAAGGGAGGAUUCAGAACUGCAUCACAGGGAUUGAGCAGUUAAUGAAGUCUUCCCAUGAAGCAAUCUGUUGAGAAGGAUUCAACUGCGUGGAUUCAGAACUCUUCAGCUGGGGAACAGGGGUACAGGGCCCAGGCAACUCUGAAGGUGAAGAAGUGAAAUGAAAGUAAGAGCCAGAAAGAAUGAAGGACAUCAAAAGAACAAGGGCCUCUAAAUCAACAAAGCAAAGUUUAAAUAAACUCAAGAGACUAAAGCAUCUUGCACAGCGCUGGCCAAGAACUCUGGAGUGUAUAAAUGAGGUGGAGAGCAUCAGUAAUCCCACUCCUCUUCUGAGAUGAGAAGCCAAGGCAGACAGAAGAGGCCAGAAGCAUGAAACCGAAGAAGGGGAGACCCUGCCUCAAAGCAUGGUUCACUCUUCUUUGCAGAACCUCUGGGUGUUCUGAAAUAGA